rnacentral:rRNA from 1 species
AACGUGGGAGGCGAGCGUUAUCCGGAUUUACUGGGCGUAAAGCGCGCGCAGGCGGUAGCAUAAGUCGUGUGUGAAAGCUCCCAGGCUUAACCGGGAGAGGCCAUGCGAUACUGUGCUGCUAGAGGCAAGGAGAGGUAAGCGGAAUUCCGGGUGUAGUGGUGAAAUGCGUAGAUAUCCGGAGGAACACCAGUGGCGAAGGCGGCUUACUGGCCUUGAACUGACGCUCAGACGCGACAGCAUGGGGAGCGAACGGG